GGGGAAGCUCAGUCAGUCAGCCAAACAAUCUUCAGAAGGGAAAGACACGAGGAAAGAACAAAGAAGAUCCAAGUCCACUCAUGGAUUCAGUCCAAAGACGCCAGUGGCUGAAGCUGAUGUCAGCUGAUUGACUCCACAUGACGAAACCCGACUCCCUCCCACUGAACGUGUUGCCGCGGGCGAUGGCCAUGUCACCUGGAAACACUUCCUGGAACUGCUGGGGUCCAACAGAAGGAUUCUGGGUUUAUUUCAGCUCUGAUCAGAUGGAACCAGAGACCUGCAGCUCAUCAGGAACAGGUGGAUCCAUUUAGAAGAACCUCAGAAGAUCUGGUCCAGGUUUAAUCUGGGACCUGGUUCAGCUCCAAAACAACCAGAUCCGAGAUAAGACCUGAAACCUGAACGUCCGGAUCCAUUAACGUCACCAGAAACGGGUCCAGAUCCAGGUCCAGGUCCAGCCUCUUCUUCUCUGGUGUUUGUUCUGUCAGGGUUCCUGCCAGGUCGACCUCCAGCUGCUGGCCUGGUAAAGUACUACAUAUGGUGUCCAAAUACUGCAGAAAUACAGAAGAGUUACAGAAAAACUGCUAGAAAACUUUAAAUACACGUUAAAAUACUUUAAUAUUCGUAGUAAAUGACCAAAAUAUUCGUAAUAUGAAAGUAGAACCUCAAGGAUCUAAACCUGCAGCAGCUCUGGUUGGUUCUAACAUGUUGUUGUGGCCCCUACUGGCCCUUGAUGGCCCCCACUGGCCCUUGGUGGCCCCUACUGGCCCUUGAUGGCCCCUACUGGUCCUUGGUGGACCCCACUGGCCCUUGGUGGCUCCUGCUGGCCUUAGUGCCCCCUGGAGGACCUGGUGGCCUCUAGAGACCCUGAAUAGCCAUGGACCCAUUAGAGUUGGUGGACCAUAUUGGCCCCUCAUGGCCCCUUGUGAACCCUGGACGCCCUGUUGGCCCCUAGUGGAAGUGGUGGCCCCCGGUGGUCCUGGUGGCCCCUUGACACUCCUGGAAGCCCUUGUGGCCUUGGAAACCCCAGUCGGAUCCCGGAGGCCUUGGUGGCCUCUGGAAACCUCUGGAAGGUCCAGUGGCCCCUUGGAAGUUCUGCUGGCCCCUGCCGGCCCCUGCUGGCCCCCCAUGGCCCCUGCUGGCCUCUGAUGGCCCCCCCAUGGCCCCUGAUGGCUUCUUUCCUUCAUCAUCUUCAUCACUCAUCCUGGACGUCAGUGUAGAAACAUCAGUUUUUAUUAUUUUCAUCUGAUCCCAGCGACCCUUUAGAGGAGUUAAACCUGUUUUUAUCCAGAUGUUCCAAAGAACACGGAACCUUCCAGGCUGAAAACAGCAAUGUUCCGCAUCAUUAAAUCCACACUUGGAGAGAAUUAGGUGUAAAUCAGAGCUGAGUUAUUACAGCCUGAAAGACGAAACCCAGGAAAAUAAGUUGACAAAGAAGUUUUUCACAUCAGCGAGUUCCUAAUCCAUGGAGUCCAUCUCACCUGCUUCAUGUGGAAACACGUGUUGGAACCGUCCUGCUGGUUCUGGACCAGAACCCUUUAAUGGGAGCUGGGAUCACCCACGGAGAGCAGGACCGGUCCAGAUACCUGGGAGCUCUGCUGGACCGGGUCCUGGGAUUUAUCGAUGCUGGCAGCAGGAGGUCUGGAAUCAGAUUAGCCAGGAAAUAGAUCCAAUGCCUCAGAGCGGACCCUGGUAUGAACCGCAAGAGAACCAAUAAAACCUCCAAAACAACCUGGAUCUUCAUCUGACCAACCAAAGAACGGCACCAAAACAACCCGGAUCCUCGUCUGAUCAACCUCUACUGGUCUUAUAAUAAUCCGCAACUGUUUCUGUUGUGGUUCUAUCAGAUAAAGUUGCUCGUUGUUCCUUUAGUUUGUGAAAAGUAAUUUAAUGGACUAAAGGAGGAACAGGAGAAACUCUGCACUUCUGUUUGUGGAUUCAAUUAAUACAAUUCCUUUAAAUAAAAAAGAAUAAACACAG
ensembl:lncRNA